UAAGACACUAGUAAAAUGUAAAUUACACUACCUUGUCAAGGUAGUAUUGUGGGUUAGAGCCCCGCGUGUCUUAGCC
rnacentral:tRNA from 1 species